UCCCUUGUGGUCCAGUGGUUAGGACUCUGCACUUCCAAUGUGGGGGACCUGGGUUCAAUCCUUGAUAGGGGAA
rnacentral:tRNA from 1 species